rnacentral:rRNA from 1 species
AUUGAACGCUGGCGGCACGCCUAACACAUGCAAGUCGAGCGGUAGCAUGAUCUGUAGCAAUACAGAUUGAUGACGAGCGGCGGACGGGUGAGGAACACGUAGGAACUUGCCCAAUAGAGGGGGAUAACUAAGGGAAACUUUAGCUAAUACCGCAUAUUCUCGAGAGAGGAAAGCUGCCCGCAAGGGUGGCGCUAUUGGAGAGGCCUGCGUCCGAUUAGCUAGUUGGUGAGGUAAAGGCUCACCAAGGCGAUGAUCGGUAACUGGUCUUAGAGGACGACCAGUCACACUGGGACUGAGACACGGCCCAGACUCUUACGGGAGGCAGCAGUGGGGAAUCUUGGACAAUGGGGGCAACCCUGAUCCAGCGAUGCCGCGUGAGUGAAGAAGGCCUUCGGGUCGUAAAGCUCUUUAGGUUGGGAGGAAGGUUAGUAUUUUAAGAGAUAACUAAUUUGACUGUACCGACAGAAUAAGCACCGGCAAACUCUGUGCCAGCCGCCGCUGUAACAC